GCUGGAAUCGCUAGUAAUCGCGGAUCAGAAUGCCGCGGUGAAUACGUUCCCGGGUCUUGUACACACCGCCCGUCACACCAUGGGAGUCGGAAAUGCCCGAAGUCUGUGACCUAACCGUAAGGAAGGAGCAGCCGAAGGCAGGUCGGAUGACUGGGGUGAAGUCGUAACAAGGUAGC
rnacentral:rRNA from 1 species